AGUCGUUCUGCCCAUUGAAUUUAAAAGGCUGCGGUAUAUUAACUGUACUAAGGUAGCAAAAUAAAUAGUUUUUUAAUUGAAAACUUGAAUGAAAGAGUUAAUAAAAUAUAAAUUGUCUCAAAUAUUUAAUUUAAAUUAAAAGUUAAAAUGCUUUUAUUAAUUUAUUAGACGAUAAGACCCUAAGAAUUUUAUAAUUUAAUUAAUUUAUAGGAAUUUAAUUAAAUUAAAUUAUUUUAUUGGGAGGAUAAUUAAAUAAACUUUAAUUAAAAAAAUAUUGUUUAAUAAAUUUUAUGAUUAAAAUAUUGAUUAUUAGAAUAAAUUACCUUAGGGAUAACAGCGUAAUAAUUUUGGAGAGUUCAUAUUGAUAAAAUCGUUUGCGACCUCGAUGUUGAAUUAAAAUAAAAAUUAAAUGAAGAUAUUUAAAUUUUUAGUCUGUUCGACUAUUAAAAUUUUAC
rnacentral:rRNA from 1 species